AUACGUAGGGGGCGAGCGUUGUCCGGAUUUACUGGGUGUAAAGGGUGCGAAGGCGGGUCUGCAAGUCAGACGUGAAAUACCGGGGCUUAACCCCGGGGCUGCAUUUGAAACUGUAUCUCUUGAGGGCGGGAGAGGAGGACGGAAUUCCUUGUGGAGCGGUGAAAUGCGUAGAUAUAAGGAAGAACACCAGUGGCGAAGGCGGUCUACUGGACAGUAACUGACGCUGAGGCGCGAAAGCGUGGGGAGCAAACAGGAUUAGAUACCCUGGUAGUCCACGCUGUAAACGAUGAAUACUAGGUGUGGGGGGACUGACCCCCUCCGUGCCGCAGUUAACACAAUAAGUAUUCCACCUGGGGAGUACGGCCGCAAGGUUGAAACUCAAAUGAAUUGGCGGGG
rnacentral:rRNA from 1 species